rnacentral:tRNA from 1 species
GCCCGGGUGGCUCAGUCGGUUAAGCGUCUGACUUCAGGUCAGGUCAUGAUCUCACAGUCCGUGAGUUCGAGCCCCACGUCGGGCU